UACGGAGGGGGCUAGCGUUGUUCGGAAUUACUGGGCGUAAAGCGCACGUAGGCGGAUUGGAAAGUCAGGGGUGAAAUCCCGGGGCUCAACCCCGGAACUGCCUUUGAAACUCCCAGUCUGGAGGUCGAGAGAGGUGAGUGGAAUUCCGAGUGUAGAGGUGAAAUUCGUAGAUAUUCGGAGGAACACCAGUGGCGAAGGCGGCUCACUGGCUCGAUUCUGACGCUGAGGUGCGACAGCGUGGGGAGCAAACAGG
rnacentral:rRNA from 1 species